ensembl:lncRNA DMD-AS3 DMD antisense RNA 3
CAGCUUCUCUGCCUGCAACAUCCUUUUCAUCUGGCUCCUUUACAUGUCAGAAGAAAGAAUUAUCUCACCAUUCCGGCUCAACAAGAAAUUCAGUCCUGAACAGACAAAAAAGUUUAAAAAUAUUUUAUAAACAUUAACCUGGACUUUUCGUAGAAGAAAUAAAGCUGAGAACGUCAUAUUUCAGCAGCUUCAAUACUUGUUUUCUGAUUGAAUCAUAAAUUUCAUUACUUUAUACUUGCUUCUACAAUGACAAAGUACCCAAAGCUAAAUGUGAAUGUCUAGUAGGUCAGAAA